UGAUGGUUACGGCGGACGGGUGACUAACACGUAAGCAACCUGCCCUCAAGCUUGGGACUACUACCGGAAACGGUAACUAAUACCGAAUACUUGUUUUCUUCUCCUGAAGAUAACUGGAAAGACGGAGCAAUCUGUCACUUGGGGAUGGGCCUGCGGCGCAUUAACUAGUUGGUGGGGUAACGGCUCACCAAGGCGACGAUGCGUAGCCGACCUGAGAGGGUGAUCGGCCACACUGGGACUGAGACACGGCCCAGACUCCUACGGGAGGCAGCAGUAGGGAAUCUUCCGCAAUGGGCGAAAGCCUGACGGAGCAAUGCCGCGUGAGUGAUGAAGGUUUUCGGAUCGUAAAGCUCUGUUGCCAGGGAAGAACGCUUGGGAGAGUAACUGCUCUCAAGGUGACGGUACCUGAGAAGAAAGCCCCGGCUAACUACGUGCCAGCAGCCGCGGUAAUACGUAGGGGGCAAGCGUUGUCCGGAAUUAUUGGGCGUAAAGCGCGCGCAGGCGGUCAUUUAAGUCUGGUGUUUAAUCCCGGGGCUCAACCCCGGAUCGCACUGGAAACUGGGUGACUUGAGUGCAAAAGAAGAGAGUGGAAUUCCACGUGUAGCGGUGAAAUGCGUAAUAUGUGGAGGAACACCAGUGGCGAAGGCGACUCUCUGGGCUGUAACUGACGCUGAGGCGCGAAAGCGUGGGGAGCAAACAGGAUUAAAUACCCUGGUAGUCCACGCCGUAAACGAUGAGUGCUAGGUGUUAGGGGUUUCCAUACCCUUGGUGCCGAAGUUAACACAUUAAGCACUCCGCCUGGGGAGUACGGUCGCAAGACUGAACUCAAAGGAAUUGACGGGGACCCCACCAGCAGUGGAA
rnacentral:rRNA from 1 species